rnacentral:lncRNA from 1 species
GGCGCGCUCCACGUCUGAUUACGACAUCCACGGCCGCCGCCUUGCGACAACGAGUCGCUUUGCGGCAAACAGUUGGCAGGAUUUCGCGCGCGAGGUGUGUCUCUGAUUCCCUCUGGCUCUUGCUGCGAUUUGGUGUGCCUGCUGAGGCGAGCUGACUGCUACUGCUUUAAUCACCGCGUGGCGGACACCUGCCGCACGUGCACAGCAUGAGGCCGAGGUGGUGACUCGCGCGUGCUGCUGCCUGCUGCUCUCCUCAUCUCGUCUGUCGUCACUGCUGUCGUUACCACACUUGCCUCCCCUGCCUGCUGUAGCCUCCUUGUCCUGCUUCCAGCGCCCCUGCAAGGUUGGUGCCGUGAC